rnacentral:rRNA from 1 species
UACAGAGGUCUCAAGCGUUGUUCGGAUUCAUUGGGCGUAAAGAGUGUGUAGGCGGUGCUCCAAGUCUGGUGUGAAAUCUCCCGGCUUAACUGGGAGGGUGCAUUAGAAACUGGAAUGCUAGAGGAUGGGAGAGGUAAGCGGAAUUCCUGGUGUAGCGGUGAAAUGCGUAGAUAUCAGGAGGAACACCUGUGGUGUAGACAGCUUACUGGACCAUUUCUGACGCUGAGACACGAAAGCGUGGGUAGCAAACAGG